rnacentral:rRNA from 1 species
GCCUGAUGCAGCGACGCCGCGUGAGGGACGACGGCCUUCGGGUUGUAAACCUCUUUCAGCACAGACGAAGCGCAAGUGACGGUAUGUGCAGAAGAAGGACCGGCCAACUACGUGCCAGCAGCCGCGGUAAUACGUAGGGUCCGAGCGUUGUCCGGAAUUACUGGGCGUAAAGAGCUCGUAGGUGGUUUGUCGCGUUGUUCGUGAAAACUCACAGCUCAACUGUGGGCGUGCGGGCGAUACGGGCAGACUGGAGUACUGCAGGGGAGACUGGAAUUCCUGGUGUAGCGGUGGAAUGCGCAGAUAUCAGGAGGAACACCGGUGGCGAAGGCGGGUCUCUGGGCAGUAACUGACGCUGAGGAGCGAAAGCGUGGGGAGCGAACAGGAUUAGAUACCCUGGUAGUCCACGCCGUAAACGGUGGGUACUAGGUGUGGGUUUCCUUCCUUGGGAUCCGUGCCGUAGCUAACGCAUUAAGUACCCCGCCUGGGGAGUACGGCCGCAAGGCUAAAACUCAAAGAAAUUGACGGGGGCCCGCACAAGCGGCGGAGCAUGUGGAUUAAUUCGAUGCAACGCGAAGAACCUUACCUGGGUUUGACAUGCACAGGACGACGGCAGAGAUGUCGUUUCCCUUGUGGCCUG